rnacentral:rRNA from 1 species
UACGUAGGGUGCAAGCGUUAAUCGGAAUUACUGGGCGUAAAGCGUGCGCAGGCGGUUAUGUAAGACAGAUGUGAAAUGCCCGGGCUUAACCUGGGAACUGCAUUUGUGACUGCAUGGCUAGAGUGUGUCAGAGGGGGGUAGAAUUCCACGUGUAGCAGUGAAUGCGUAGAUAUGUGGAGGAAUACCGAUGGCGAAGGCAGCCCCCUGGGAUAACACUGACGCUCAUGCACGAAAGCGUGGGGAGCAAACAGG